CUGCACGUAGUCUCCCGGGCUUCUCUGAAAGUAAAUCAAUGAUUUUGAAAGCCCCAAUACUCGUGCUAAAUCUUUGCCGUUUAGUGUUGCAGUUUAGCUCUUGUACCUUAUUUUUUCACGGCUUAUCUGUGUCAAAUCAACGGCCAAAUUU
rfam:Ricinus communis ctg_1100012359049, whole genome shotgun sequence.